UACGUAGGCAGCGGGCGUUGUUCGGAGUUACUGGGCGUAAAGCGUGCGCAGGCGGUUCGUUGUGUCGGUGGUGAAAGCCCCGGGCUUAACCUGGGAAUGGCCAUGGAAACUGGCGAACUGGAGUGUGGCAGAGGGGGGUGGAAUUCCGCGUGUAGCAGUGAAAUGCGUAGAGAUGCGGAGGAACACCGAUGGCGAAGGCAGCCCCCUGGGCUAGCACUGACGCUCAGGCACGAAAGCGUGGGGAGCAAACAGG
rnacentral:rRNA from 1 species